rnacentral:rRNA from 1 species
GUCCAUGCCGUAAACGAUGAGUGCUAAGUGGUUGGGAGGUUUCCGCCUCUCAGUGCUGCAGCUAACGCAUUAAGCACUCCGCCUGGGGAGUACGACCGCAAGGUUGAAACUCAAAGGAAUUGGACGGGGGCCCGCACAAGCGGUGGAGCAUGUGGUUUAAUUCGAAGCAACGCGAAGAACCUUACCAGGUCUUGACAUCCAGUGCAAACCUAAGAGAUUAGGUGUUCCCUUCGGGGACGCUGAGACAGGUGGUGCAUGGCUGUCGU